rnacentral:rRNA from 1 species
AAGCCGGGAAUGGAAAGCCCGGUGCAAGCGGGGUACCAGUCACUCUGGCAAAUCCGGGUGGCAAUGGGAAGCCGUGAUGCGGAGUGAAAUAAAGUAACGAAGUCCGUGAGCCAUGCGUCAAGAAAAGCCGCUUUUGUUUAUACCGUACCCGUACCGUAAACCGACACAGGUGGAUGAGGAGAGAAUCCUAAGGCCGGCGGAAGAAGCAUUGUCAAGGAACUCGGCAAAAUGGCCCCGUAACUUAGGGAUAAGGGGUGCCUGGGAAACCAGGCCGCAGAGAAUAGGCUCAAGCAACUGUUUAGCAAAAACACAGGUCUAUGCGAAACCGAAAGGUGAGGUAUAUGGGCUGACGCCUGCCCGGUGCUGGAAGGUUAAGAGGAGAGGUUAGCGCAAGCGAAGCUUUGAAUUUAAGCCCCAGUAAACGGCGGCCGUAACAAUAACGGUCCUAAGGUAGCGAAAUUCCUUGUCGGGUAAGUUCCGACCCGCACGAAAGGCGUAAUGAUUUGAGCGCUGUCUCGACAAUGCAUCCGGUGAAAUUGAAGUACCAGUGAAGAUGCUGGUUACCUGCGCCAGGACGGAAAGACCCCAUGGAGCUUUACUCCAGUUUGGUACUGGGACUCGGUAUUGCAUGUACAGGAUAGGUGGGAGGCUGAGAGACAGUAACGCCAGUUAUUGUGGAGCCGCUGUUGGGAUACCACCCUUGCAGUAUUGGGUUUCUAACCAGCCGCCGUGACCCGGCGGUGGGACAAUGCCAGACGGGGAGUUUGACUGGGGCGGUCGCCUCCGAAAGGGUAUCGGAGGCGCCCAAAGGUUCCCUCAGAAUGGACGGAAACCAUUCGAAGAGUGCAAAGGCAGAAGGGAGCUUGACUGCGACACCGACGGGUGGAGCAGGUACGAAAGUAGGGCUUAGUGAUCCGGUGGUAUUAAGUGGGAAUGCCAUCGCUCAACGGAUAAAAGCUACCCUGGGAUAACAGGCUUAUCACUCCCAAGAGUUCACAUCGACGGAGUGGUUUGGCACCUCGAUGUCGGCUCAUCGCAUCCUGGGGCUGUAGUAGGUCCCAAGGGUUGGGCUGUUCGCCCAUUAAAGCGGUACGCGAGCUGGGUUCAGAACGUCGUGAGACAGUUCGGUCCCUAUCCGGCGUGGGCGUAGGAUAUCUGAGAGGAGCUGUCCUUAGUACGAGAGGACCGGGAUGGACGGGCCGCUGGUGCAUCGGUUAGACUGCCAAGUCUACGGCCGAGUAGCCAAGCCCGGAAGGGAUAAACGCUGAAGGCAUCUAAGCGUGAAGCCCCCCUUAAGAUGAGAUAUCCCAUUCGAAAGAAGUAAACCCCCUUGAAGACGACGAGGUAGAUAGGGCAGAGGUGGAAGUGUGGCAACACAUGGAGCUGACUGUUACUAAUCGGGUGAGGGCUUGAUCU